GUACUGACGAAGAGUCCCAAACUAGGACGAAACGAUUGUCCAGUAC
rnacentral:hammerhead_ribozyme from 1 species